AAGAGUUUGUUCAUCUCACAUUCAAAAUCCAUAUAGUCUCAAUCUUCCAAAAUAAAAGAGACUACUAUUUAUACUAAUAAAAUAAAAAAGACACUUAUUUGACAAUUUUACCCUUAAUGAGGUAAGGGCCUUGUUUGGUUGACUUCUUUUGUGAAUUCUUGAAAACAAAAUAAAGAAGACACUUCUUUUACAAUUUUACCCUUAAUGAGGUAAGGGCCUUGUUUGGUUGACUUCUUUUGUGAAUUCUUGAAAACAAAAUAAAGAAGACACUUCUUUUACAAUUUUACCCUUAAUGAGAGAUGACCAUUUGCACAAAUGGCCUCUUUCUUCUUUCUUUUCACUUAGAUGAAACUUCCACACAUUGUACUUCUUGAUUUUGUGUCCAUCAAGCUCCUCUAAUGCUUUUACGUGAUCCAUGCUAUCCAUGUUGUUAUCAUCCUCCCCUUCUUGAAAAGGAUUUGUUCUCGAAUCCAAACCUUGCAAAACCAUGAAAAGGACAAACAACAAAUAUAUCCUCAUAGCAUGAGGGUUAGUAUAAUGGUUAGCACAAAAAGCAUUAUACCAAGGAGACUCAAUCUCAAGGAGCAACCAAGUAUCCUCUAUUAUCAGGACUAUUAAGCCCGCAGUUGGAGAACAAGGAAAUUGGCUAUUCCUCACAUCAAAAGGAUAACACCACCCAAAAUAUAACAUUACUACAAGCUCAAACGCUCACCAGGGUCAAAAUGAUAAUAGGUCCACAUAUGGGGUCAUACAAACAAGUAUAGACUUCAAUGAUACCUCGACUGAAAUGCAAAGCCCAUUUAAGACAAAUAUGAGACUCAUCAUAUGCAAAGAGAUAGUAGAGAAAUGUUCCAAAGACAACAUGACGAAUUUAAGAUAAACUUCCCCUUCUCUUGACAAAUAACUCUUAUCCUCAUGAGAUGCACAAUCAACAAGAUCAUACGCAAAGAGAUAGUAAAGAAAGGGGGUUAGAAAACUACCCUUCCCCAUGCACAACAUAGGCCCUUCAAGUAAAUUGUAAACCCUCACGAAGAACUUUCCAUCAUAGGGAAAGGUGCCAACAAAUUCCUCCAAAUUGUGCUUGUCAUCUUGACCAAGCAUCACUAAACAAGUUCCACAAUUCAACUCAUUACCGGGGUCAAAUGGAAAGGAAAUCCAUGAACAUGGAUCAAGCACACCUUUAUUAACCCGGUUGGCACCCUUAGCUUCAAAUAUCAUAGUACUCCACUCAAAAGUGCUAACAUCAUCAUAUGCAAACAAGUAGUAGAGAAAGGUGUCACAUAAAUGAACUUCAAUCAAGUUGUUCCCAAGUUUGGCCCCCACUUUAUAUACUAAAGAAUUACAAUUCAUAUGAAGAAUUGGAACACACAAGGAUGAAGUAACAUUUAACACAUAACCGUCCCCUUUCAUCUUAACACUACCCUCUCCAAUAAAUGUACUAUCAUCUUCACAAAAGAGAUUUCCAUCUUUGGAAAGUGUGUCAUCACACCAUAGUGGAUUCUCAAACAAUUGAUAGCCGCUGAGAGUGGCUACACUUCCAACAUUAUAAGGCAUUUCGCUAUGCACACUCUCAAGAGUCAUGUCAUCAUCAAACAAAAGAUUAUCAUUUAACAAAUUUUGGAAAGUGUGUCAUCACACCAUAGUGGAUUCUCAAACAAUUGAUAGCCGCUGAGAGUGGCUACACUUCCAACAUUAUAAGGCAUUUCGCUAUGCACACUCUCAAGAGUCAUGUCAUCAUCAAACAAGAGAUUAUCCUUUAACAAACAUUCUACCUCAAGAUUCACAUGAGAAAAACAAGAAAUGUUGCUAUGGUCUAAGGAUUCAUUCAAAUCAUUAAUGCCAACACUAGGUGGACACAAAUUGACCUUACUAGAAGAGUCAAUUCGGUCAUCAAAAGGAUCAACUAGUGCUUGCUCACUCACAACAAGGAUAUUAUCAUCACACAAGAAAGUGCUAUCAAGAACAUCACAAGGUAAAGACUCACUAUGCUCACAUAAAGACAAGCUAUUAUUUACACUCAAUGGGCUACUAGCCACACAAUGAUGUUCCAAGUUCAAGGAAGUGUAGGCGUUAGCAUUGUUACCUUGUAGCUCAUAGGAAGAAGUGUCGUCACCUUGGCUAUCAACAUUAGAGCACAUUUUCUCAUUUUGGAAGCUUUCAAGAACCUCAUGAUUCUUCACAUUUUGAGGUGCCUCAUUAGGCUUGCUUCCAAGGAUACCUGCACAAAUUUUCAAACAACUAGAGAAAGUAAAGUUACAUGAGUUAGGAGAAAAAUGUGACAACCCUCUCACAGCACUCCACCCAACCUCUCCUUUUUCCACUCUAGAGUUGCCACUUUUCACAUCCUUACUCCUCUCAAUCUCUUGUCUCUCAAUUUGAUGGGAGUUAGGGCAAGUGCCAAGGAUUCCUUUUAAAGGGUUGGAAGAUCCUUUCAAGUUCAACUUUCAUUUUGGUGCACAAGGAGUGGGUGUUUUGACUUCCAUGUGCAACUCCUUAGUGCCAACCUUACAAGGAGUAUCGUGUUUUUCUUCCAAGGGUAACUCCUUAGGCGUAUCUUCAUGAUGAAUAACUUGCCUCUUUUGUACCAUAGACGUAACCUUUUCAAACAUCUGCAAGAAAUCAUCAAAAUAUAUCCUCAACGUUGUAAAAGAUUCUCUUAACUCUACUACUUCAUGGCUUAGUGUUCCUCCCCCUCUACCUUCAACCUCAUCACCAUACGGAGAACAAGAAACAUUGGAACUAGGAUGAGAAGAAUAAGUUAGCAUAUUUUGAGAAGUAGGGAAUGUACUUCUUCUAUAGUCCACACGACGACUUUGAAAUGGUCCCACCCAAACAUCUAUGCCUUCUUUCUUAGGAUACGAAGUAGCACAAGACGAGGUAGUAAAUUCAAUCUCACAACCUCUAUUUCUAUCUAUAUUCUACUCAAAGGAUUCAUAAGACCUAUGAGAGAAAGAAUUGUACCUCACAUCACCAUCAUAACCAUGGCGCGUAGCAUGAGAACCUUCAUCUCCACAAUGAUAUACACCAUAAGGUUCUUCCAUCCCUUCAACAUCAUCACAAGAGUCAUAAGUUCCAUUCAUCUCAAAAUCAUCUCCGGAGUAGUAGUUCUCACCACCAUAUUGUUCAUUAUCCCAUGGACCAUCAUAUCCCUCAUAAGAAUCACCAUCAUAAACAAGAGCCCCAUUACCAUGCUCGUAAGGACCAUCAUAGCCCUCACAAAACUCAUUCUUACCAUGCUCAUAGCUCAUAUUGCUACAAGCGUAUUCACCAAUAUCAUCUCCACAAUAUUCGGAAGUUACGGAUGACAUUCUUCCUUGUAUUCACCUUGGGUACCUACAAAACUUAGCAAACAAGGUUAGUGGCAAAAUUCCUCACACCUCUCUUAUUUUAUCUCACACUCACCUUCCUAAAGUGUCUUCCCAAAGUUGAUAGAGAACUACCUUUGCCCAAUCAAAUCACAAGAUCACUAAUUCUUUGUGGUAGAGUGGAUUCUUGUGACUCUUGAAAGAAGGAUGACCCAAAAAUCUAAAGGAUUGGAAUCAAGAAGGUUAUCAACGAAUUAAGAUGAACAAAAGUAGAAGAAAGAAGUAACCAAAAAAAAUUCGGACUACAAAAUAAACCAAGUAACAAAAGUAGAAGAAUUACUUCUUGUUACUUAAUUUGAAGGAUCAAAGAAAAGAUUUGAUGAUUAAAAACUAGUUAAAAGUAAUUAAAGAUGUUAAUUAAUUGUUAAAUAGUUGAAAAAUAGGGAAAAAAAGAGUGGAAGAAGAAGAAGUGAAUGUGGACACUUAGAAAAACUUUUAAGCCUUAAAAAAGUUCUUCACUUGUCAGGCUUUGAUUGGAUAAUUUAAUGAUUAAAACUAGUUAACAAAUAAUUAAAGAUGUUAAUUAGUUGUUAGAUAGUUGAGGAAUUGAAGGAAAAAAAGUAUAGAAAAAGAAUCAAGAAGUUUGGACACUUAGAAAAAAAUUUGGGUCCAAAAAACUUCCCAUACUUAGAAUAUUUUUGGGGUCUUAAGCAAAAAACCUGCACAUUUUCCUCUCUGAAUCUGAGCCACACGCGCCAUGUGGCGCGUCUGGGAUGGCCUGGCAGUGAGAUGCUGUUGUGGCACUGAGCUGGCACUGAAGUGGAUGCUGUGUUGGCAGCUGAUUGCUGAUGUGGCAGUCCACGUGGAUUUUUUAUUUUUUUUAAAUUCAAUUUUUUUAUUUUUUUAUUCGAAUUUCCUCUUCUUCUUUUUUUUUUUCAAAACUCCACUAAUAUACCCAAAAAAAACACAUUUGACCAACUUUGACUUGAAAAGUUGGAUCAAAUGUACUUUCUUCUUUUUUCUUCUUCAAGAACAACUUGAAGACACCAAGAACACACACUAAACCCCAAUACACUCAAAUCAACUUGAAAUUGGCUCAAAAUUUAGUAUUUUUUCCCUUCAACUAAGAGAACAAAGCCCACUAAUUAUUAAUCUCCAAUUUCGCCUCAAUCAAAAGACCCACUUUCAAAAUUUGAAAAGUUUGAAAAGUUUGAAACCCUUCAAUGGUAACUUCACUUCUACAACACUAAAUUGAACAAAAAUUGAAACCUAGACUCAAAUAAACACUAGGGAACAAGGAUCUAGUGUCAAAAAACAACAAAUCAAAAUUAAAAAAAUUCAAUUUUUUUUUUUGACGAAUUUUUUGGACUUUUUUUUUUUAAAACCAAGACUAGAUUUGUAAGAACAAAUCUAAACCUAGCCUCUGAUACCAAAUGGUAAGAGUUCCAAUUGGGGAUGAAACCAAUUGAAAUCAAAUGCGGAAUGAAACAACACAAAAGUAAGAUAGAUGAGAAAUAAGAGAUGAAAAGAGAAGAAAGAAAGGCAAAUUGAAUAAACAAUCAACCAAGGAAGAAGAGAAACUUGAAUUCGAAAAGAAACAACUCAAAUUGAAAACUACAAAUGAGCAAUCUCAAGUGAAAUUAAGGUUAAAAAGUCCUAAAUCAACAAUGAGAAUCCACACAUCACUAAUCUAGAUUAAACUACACUAAGCUAGGCUAAACUACACUCUUGAAAGAGUUUGUUCAUCUCACAUUCAAAAUCCAUAUAGUCAGAAUCUUCCAAAAUAAAAGAGACCACUAUUUAUACUAAUAAAAUAAAAAAGACACUUAUUUGACAAUUUUACCCUUAAUGAGGUAAGGGCCUUAUUUGGUUGGCUUCUUUUGUGAAUUCUUGAAAAUAAAGUAAAGAAGACACUUCUUUGACAAUUUUACCCUUAAUGAGGUAAGGGCCUUUUUUGGUUGUCUUCUUUUGUGAAUUCUUGAAAUUAUGAGAUGACCAUUUGCACAAAUGGCCUCUUUCUUCUUUCUCUUCACUUAGAUGGACCUUCCACACAUUGUACUUCUUGAUUUUGUGUCCAUCAAGCUCCU
rnacentral:lncRNA from 1 species